rnacentral:rRNA from 1 species
AUUGAACGCUGGCGGCAGGCCUAACACAUGCAAGUCGAACGAGUGGCGGACGGGUGAGUAAUGUAUGGGAAACUGCCUGUUGGAGGGGGAUAACUACUGGAAACGGUCGCUAAUACCGCAUACCAUCGGAUGUGCCCAUAUGGGAUGAGCUAGGAGGGGGGGUAAAGGCUCACAGAGGCGACGAUCCCUAGCUGGUCUGAGAGGAUGACAGGCAAAACUGGAACUGAGACACGGUCCAGACUCCUACGGGAGGCAGCAGUGGGGAAUAUUGCACAAUGGGCGCAAGCCUGAUGCAGCCAUGCCGCGUGUAGGAAGAAGGCCUUCGGGUUGUAAAGUACUUUCAGCGGGGAGGCGUUACCCGCAGAAGAAGCACCGGCUAACUCCGUGCCAGCCGCCGCGGUAAUAC